GACGAACCGUGCGACCGUUGUUCGGAUUCACUGGGCUUAAAGGGCGCGUAGGCGGCUCGCCAAGUCAGGGGUGAAAUCUUUCGGCUCAACCGGAAAAGUGCUUCUGAUACUGGCGGGCUGGAGGAGGGUAGGGGCGGAUGGAACUUCCGGUGGAGCGGUGAAAUGCGUAGAUAUCGGAAGGAACGCCGGUGGCGAAAGCGAUCCGCUGGACCCUCCCUGACGCUGAGGCGCGAAAGCCAGGGGAGCGAACGGG
rnacentral:rRNA from 1 species